CAUCCUUAGGUAUUUUACAAAGUAACUUGUUAAAUGCCAGGAGAAUCCAUUCUUUUCAGACAGAUGCCAUUUACAUUUUUCCUUUCCUGGAAGACACCAGAUGGCUAACAGCAUGCUGCAGGAGCUGAAAUCAGAGGAAAAGAGAUGGAUCCUAUUUCCAAGAGCUGUACAUUCUGGCGUGUGUUGAAUUGCACUAGUAUAGACACUUCCUAA
rnacentral:lncRNA from 1 species